CCUGCCUAUGGGAUGCUGUGAUACAGCCUAUGACAAAGGGAGCAGUGCUGGAAAGUCAUGAGACCCCUGCAUACAAACGAUCUUUGUGGUCAUCAAGUAACCUCUCCUGUGAAGGGGCUCUAGUCAGAACAAGUGGUACAGUCUCCAUGAAGAAGUAGAGUUUGGAUUCAGUCCAUUGGUGAGGUGAGUCAAGAUAACUAAGUAGCCUGUACAUAUUAGGUUCCUACACUGCCCUCUUUAACAAUCCUGAUUAUUGAAAUAAGAAAUGAAAAAUAAAAUGAAGAAAAGGACAAGAAUCAUCAACUCAUUCAAACCUAAUGGGUUGGGGGUCAUGUGUAUGUUGAUGGUCUGAUAUACAGUGAUCACACAUGGUGUUUGGGUAAUCUGUGGUCAGCCUCAUUUGGGCUGAUCCUUUAGUUUGCAAGAAUCAGAGCAAGCAGCCUGUAUGGGUCAGGCUGCUUUUAGCAAAGUGUGUAUGCACUGUUCUGUCCAGAUAGAGGUAUGAAGCUCACAUAGGUACAAACAAAAGCAAGGCUGUGUGGACUGAAUCCAAGUAGAAAGGAUGCUUCCUUGGCACUGUGUUCAUGAUAUAUAUAUUGCUUUCCUCAUGGUAGAUUCCUAAAUUUGAAAUGAACAGUAGGGGGCUGUUAUACACAAAGUCCAGUUCCAGACAUGCAGAGAGUGAAGCUGGGCUGAGCCUGUCUCUCAUGGAAGACCUGCUGUGAGACUUGCAGGAGGUUUCCUUUCACUGAGAUCCUCCCAAAGUGGACAUCCAUAUUCAGGGGAUUUGGCCUUGGGGUAGGCCAUGAACAAGCAGGAAAGAGGAUUCCAGGGGUGAAAGUCAUUUAGACUUUGGAACCAACUGACCCUGAGGCCUGAGACUGACCAUGGCCCUCUUUCCAUAACUGUACUCGUACAGUAACAUCAGUGUUGCUCUUGGGUGGUAUAUGGGCAUGAGAGGUGGGUUUUAGCCACAGUGUGCUGUGUUUUGUGUGAGUUGUUAAGUCCCUGACUGUCUCUACUACCAGUCAGCCACCUGGUUGCCUGCCUUCUGCAUAGGCUGUUUUCAUUGUGAGCAGGUGAGCACCAUGAUUCCCUUGUGAGGUUUGGUUUCUGACCAAGUGCCCAGAGUGUGUUUGGGUGUCCAGUGACCCUGCUGCUGCUCUGCUCUGCAGAGCUACCACGGGGUGCUGGCAGGUGACUAGUGCUGUGACUUUGUCCCUGCCUCUGCCCCUCUUACUUCUAUGCCUUGUGCCAGCACCCACCUUGGGGCAGAGACAGAGCUUGCGGAAAUGCCAGCUGCAGGUUGAGGAGGUUUGGUGUGUUGCUUUAGCGUGUUUCUCAUCGUGAGGAGGAGGAGGAGUGAGGCAUGGGCUUGCUGCAGCACCCUGGCUGUACCUCAGAGUCCCUCCCCACCAGUUUUUGCACUGGGUACAGUGGAGCGUAAGCUGGUGGUUCCAUUGGGACUGGCAGCUUGCACUGUGGCUGGGGCUGGGGGACAAUCACCCUGCACAGUGGAUGUCCUUGCACAGUGCUUCCUAAGAAGGCAGAGCCCCUGCAGACCACCCAGUGGGCCUGAGUGAGGGACCUGGUCAUGUGACUGAGCCCCUUCAGGUGGUCUCUUUGGAGAGUGGCUCACAGGAGAGGCAGAGCCCCCUUGUGUGACUGUCUUGGUCAUGUAAGUGACUUGCACUAUGUCCUUUUUUUUUUUUUACCAGAGCACUGCUCAGCUCUGGCUUAUGGUGGUGUGGGGAUUGAACCUGGGACUUUGGAGCCUCAGGCAUGAGAGUCACUUUGCAUAACCAUUAUGCUAUCUACCCUCCGCCCUCACUAUGUCCUUUUAAGCUUUUAUGAGGAUGGUGUCUGAGCCCUUGUGGUGAUGCAUUAGGAUGUAUAUGUCUCUGCCCUGUGGACAGGAGGUCUGCCUGCAAUCACUCACCCCUCCCUUGCAAUUGGCUCUUGCAGACUCCUCAGGCUUGGUAAUUGUCCUCACUCUGAAAGAUCCUGAAUGUUGCAAGGUGACUUUUUUGUGUCCACACAGAUACUAAAGUAAAGAUCAAUGCCUUUGCACGUGUGGCCUUGACAAUCCUCCUGCUCCUUUUCUCUACCCAGGUCACCUUCCUUCAUUCUUCCUGCUGAUGAUGUUUCUGAUUCCAGAUGAAGACCCUGGACUUUUGAAAAGGAUGCGUGUAGCUGAAGUCAGACCAUUGCACAGGGAACAGGAUCCUUCACCUUGGGUUAAGAGUGAGGAUGAGGAAGAGCGAUCUCAACCAGAACCUCAGAAUCAGCAACCUGAAGCUCAGCAAGAAAGGGAACAGAGCAAGGACCAAGAGAGACCUCAGAGACCUGGAGAUGACAUCACUGGGACUGGCUCUUCCAGCACCAACAGGAGUCUGGGCAGCCAGGCAGUAGUGAAUCUGCAGCUCCUGCCAGAUGUGGUGGGGACUGCUGCUAUGGGGUCAGCAACACCUGGAUGACUUGUACCCACCGUUACCUGUAACCACAUCCUGAGUGCUACAGAGAAGAAGAUCAGGGAGAAGAUGGACUGUUAUCCCUUCAGAGAAGGACCCCUGAUCCCAUGUUUUUUGUGGAUUUCAGAAGGUGGGAGGCAAACAGCCUUCUCUCCACCAUCCCACCUGCACCAGGGAUGGGUCUGGGCUCUCUGUUCAUCUCUCCAUUGCCUGGCUCUGCAUGCGUCCACACCAUGCACAUAUGUGGUAAACAGGAUAUGUGUGAACGAUUCAUAUAAGUUACCCUCCACUGCCUCCUUUUAUUUUUUUUAUAAUAAGUAAACUUUCUUUUUAAUUUUAA